CCCUUGGCCUUGACAUACUAAGAACUUUCCAGAGAUGGAUUGGUGCCUUCGGGAACUUAGAUACAGGUGUUGCAUGGCUGUCGUCAGCUCGUGUCGUGAGAUGUUGGGUUAAGUCCCGNAACGAGCGCAACCCUUUUCCUUAUUUGCCAGCGGGUCAUGCCGGGAACUUUAAGGAUACUGCCAGUGACAAACUGGAGGAAGGCGGGGACGACGUCAAGUCAUCAUGGCCCUUACGGCCAGGGCUACACACGUGCUACAAUGGUCGGUACAAAGGGUUGCUACCUCGCGAGAGGAUGCUAAUCUCAAAAAGCCGAUCGUAGUCCGGAUCGCAGUCUGCAACUCGACUGCGUGAAGUCGGAAUCGCUAGUAAUCGCGGAUCAGAAUGCCGCGGUGAAUACGUUCCCGGGCCUUGUACACACCGCCCGUCACACCAUGGGAGUUUGUUGCACCAGAAGUAGGUAGUCUAACCGCAAGGAGGACGCUUACCACGGUGUGGCCGAUGACUGGGGUGAAGUCGUAACAAGGUAAGCGUAGAUGA
rnacentral:rRNA from 1 species